UACAGAGGUGGCAAGCGUUGUUCGGAAUUACUGGGCGUAAAGGGCGCGUAGGCGGCCAUCUAAGUCAGACGUGAAAUCCCCCGGCUUAACCUGGGAAAUGCGUCUGAUACUGGACGGCUGGAGUUUGGGAGAGGGAUGUAGAAUUCCAGGUGUAGCGGUGAAAUGCGCAGAUAUCAGGAGGAACACCGGUGGCGAAGGCGGAUCUCUGGGCCUUACCUGACGCUGAGGCGCGAAAGCUAGGGGAGCGAACAGG
rnacentral:rRNA from 1 species